UGGGGAAUUUUGGACAAUGGGGGAAACCCUGAUCCAGCCAUCCCGCGUGUGCGAUGAAGGCCUUCGGGUUGUAAAGCACUUUUGGCAGGAAAGAAACGUCGCGGGUUAAUACCCCGCGGAACUGACGGUACCUGCAGAAUAAGCACCGGCUAACUACGUGCCAGCAGCCGCGGUAAUACGUAGGGUGCAAGCGUUAAUCGGAAUUACUGGGCGUAAAGCGUGCGCAGGCGGUUCGGAAAGAAAGAUGUGAAAUCCCAGAGCUUAACUUUGGAACUGCAUUUUUAACUACCGGGCUAGAGUGUGUCAGAGGGAGGUGGAAUUCCGCGUGUAGCAGUGAAAUGCGUAGAUAUGCGGAGGAACACCGAUGGCGAAGGCAGCCUCCUGGGAUAACACUGACGCUCAUGCACGAAAGCGUGGGGGAGCAAACAGGAUUAGAUACCCUGGUAGUCCACGCCCUAAACGAUGUCAACUAGCUGUUGGGGUCUUCGGACCUUGGUAGCGCAGCUAACGCGUGAAGUUGACCGCCUGGGGAGUACGGUCGCAAGAUUAAAACUCAAAUGAAUUGACGGGGUC
rnacentral:rRNA from 1 species